rnacentral:rRNA from 1 species
UACGUAGGGGGCAAGCGUUGUCCGGAAUCAUUGGGCGUAAAGAGCGCGUAGGCGGCCCUGUAAGUCCGCUGUGAAAGUCAAGGGCUCAACCCUUGGAUGCCGGUGGAUACUGCAGGGCUAGAGUCCGGAAGAGGCGAGUGGAAUUCCUGGUGUAGCGGUGAAAUGCGCAGAUAUCAGGAGGAACACCGAUGGCGAAGGCAGCUCGCUGGGAUAACACUGACGCUCAUGCACGAAAGCGUGGGGAGCAAACAGG